rnacentral:rRNA from 1 species
GGAAAGAGACCUGCGUGAGAGAUAGCGUACAUAGUACAGUAAUGGAAAGCCUUACAAUUGAAGCAUAAUGCAGGCAUAUGUUGCCGUACUUAUUGCAUUACGGAUAUACGAGUUAAUAAGGGAUAGGCUAUAUA